rnacentral:rRNA from 1 species
GAGGGCAAGUCUGGUGCCAGCAGCCGCGGUAAUUCCAGCUCCAAUAGCGUAUAUUAAAAUUGUUGCAGUUAAAAAGCUCGUAGUUGAAUUUCAGCUGCUCCGCACUAUCUUCCCGUUAUGGAGGUUGUGCGCUGUGGCUUAUUUCGGACUGUGUUAUGCACUGUCUGGAUGUUUACUUUGAGAAAAUUAGAGUGCUCAAAGCAGGCUUUUGCCUUGAAUAGUUUAGCAUGGAAUAAUAAAGUAGGACUUUGGUUCUAUUUUGUUGGUUUUAGGUACCAAAGUAAUGGUUAAUAGGAGCAGUUGGGGGUAUUCGUAUUUAACUGUCAGAGGUGAAAUUCUUAGAUUUGUUAAAGACGAACUACUGCGAAAGCAUUUGCCAAGGAUGUUUUCAUUAAUCAAGAACGAAAGUUAGGGGAUCGAAGACGAUCAGAUACCGUCGUAGUCCUAACCAUAAACUAUGCCGACUAGAGAUUGGAGGUCGUCAGUUUUUACGACUCCUUCAGCACCUUGAGAG